rnacentral:rRNA from 1 species
GACGAACGCUGGCGGCGUGCCUAAUACAUGCAAGUAGAACGCACAGUUUAUACCGUAGCUUGCUACACCAUAGACUGUGAGUUGCGAACGGGUGAGUAACGCGUAGGUAACCUGCCUGGUAGCGGGGGAUAACUAUUGGAAACGAUAGCUAAUACCGCAUAAUAUUAAUUAUUGCAUGAUAAUUAAUUGAAAGGUGCAAUUGCACCACUACCAGAUGGACCUGCGUUGUAUUAGCUAGUAGGUGAGGUAACGGCUCACCUAGGCGACGAUACAUAGCCGACCUGAGAGGGUGAUCGGCCACACUGGGACUGAGACACGGCCCAGACUCCUACGGGAGGCAGCAGUAGGGAAUCUUCGGCAAUGGACGAAAGUCUGACCGAGCAACGCCGCGUGAGUGAAGAAGGUUUUCGGAUCGUAAAGCUCUGUUGUCAGAGAAGAACGGGUGUGAGAGUGGAAAGUUCACACUGUGACGGUAUCUUACCAGAAAGGGACGGCUAACUACGUG